rnacentral:rRNA from 1 species
UACGGGGGGUGCGAGCGUUGUCCGGAAUCACUGGGCGUAAAGGGUGCGUAGGCGGCGCGGUAAGUCGGGUGUGAAAUCUCGGGGCUUAACUCCGAAACUGCAUUCGAUACUGCCGUGCUUGAGGACUGGAGAGGAGACUGGAAUUUACGGUGUAGCGGUGAAAUGCGUAGAUAUCGUAAGGAAGACCAGUGGCGAAGGCGGGUCUCUGGACAGUUCCUGACGCUGAGGCACGAAGGCCAGGGGAGCAAACGGG